rnacentral:miRNA from 1 species
AGUCCCGAUCUCUUGAACCACAGG